GCGGCUGGGCGUGCGCGGGGCCGCGGCGGAGGCAGGGCCGGGCGGGCGGCAGAAGAUGGCGAGGGUGUGUAGGCGGCAGCAAUGCUCCGUUGAGAGACGCGGCUUUCGGCAAGAACUGGACUCGUGGCGCCACAAGCUCAUUCACUGUGUAGGUCCCGUUUCCCUCUGUGCGGCGGCCGGCGGGACCAUAAGGGCUUAACUCAUAUAUUUAACCCCCCUCCAAAAAGGUUUGAAAGUAUUCUUGAAGGGCUGUUUGGACCUGCAUUAUUAAAAGAUCUCAGUUUAUAUAAAGACUGUGAACCUGAAAGCAUUUCUGAUUGGACUUUUGAUGAAAACUGUCUAUUCUGUUGCUUAAGAAGAGAUAAAGUAAAGGGACACUUAGUCGGUCUGGAUGAACCAGCUUCGGGAGCUGGGCAAGAAGCUCUGCUUAAACAAGAGCAAGCAAAAAUCAUUCGAUUCGAGAGACAAGCAGAAGAGUUCCUCAAUGCAGUCUUUUAUAGAAAAGACAGUCCCUGGGUCUCCGACCCCAAUAUUCCCCUAGUGGCCCGUGAGAUCAUGCAGCGAAUGAUCCAACAAUUUGCUGCUGAAUAUACCUCAAAAAAUAGCUCUACUCAGGACCCCAGCCAGCCCAAUAGCACAAAGAACCAAAGCCUGCCGAAAGCAUCUCCAGUCACCACCUCUCCCACGGCUGCAACUACUCAGAACCCUGUGCUCAGCAAACUUCUCAUGGCUGACCAAGACUCACCUCUGGACCUUACUGUCAGAAAGUCUCAGUCAGAACCUAGCGAACAAGACGGUGUACUUGAUCUGUCCACUAAGAAAAGUCCAUGUGCUGGCAGCACUUCCCUGAGCCAUUCUCCAGGCUGCUCCAGUGCUCAAGGGAACGGUGAGAAUUCAACAGAGGCUCUAGCAGUAGAUUCUAACAAUCAGUCGAAGUCCCCGCUGGAGAAGUUUAUGGUCAAACUGUGCACUCAUCAUCAGAAGCAGUUCAUUCGUGUUCUGAACGAUCUGUACACUGAAUCCCAGCCAGGCCACGAGGACCUGCACCCUGAUUCUGGAGCAAUGGACGCAUCCACUUGCAGUGCCGGCUGUGCCCAACUAGGCACCAAACAUAAGGAAAAGGAUACUGUGUGUCUCGAUAGGAAGUCUCCUACUUCUGUAGAUUUGUUCGUAGACUCAUCGGACUCUCACAGCCCUCUACGCGUGACAGAACAGGCCCUGAAGGAGCCUCCUCCCGAGAUAAAGUCUGUAGAUGGGAGAGAGAAUGCCUUGGCUGUUACCCAGAAAGAUUCCUCUGAACUUCCAACCACUAAACCUAAUUCUGGUAGUUCAACGGAUAGUUCCACUCUGGGAUACCUCACUGCAUCUAAUUCUUCCUCAUUAAACUUCCACCACAUCUCUAAGAGCUUAGAGGGGCAAACCACUGGACAGGAGCAAGACACAAAUGUGAAAAUUCGCGAGGAUGGUAAAGACCAUAUGCAGAGCUCAGCUUUAGUAGAAAGUCUAAUUGCAGUAAAAGGGGCAGCUGAGAAUAGUGAGGAGAGCAACAGCUGUAUUAUUUCUCAGAGAAAUUCAUUCAAAGCUUUAUCAGAAGAGGCUUGGGACUCAGGGUUUACGGGGAAUUCACCUAGAACUGCUGACAAAGAGAACGCUUUACUGUGUAGCUCAAAAACACCUUUGCGCCAGGAGUUAGAGUCCAGUGAACAAGAUUCAAGGCCAAAGCAAGAGAACCAUCUUCACUCACUAGGAAGAAAUAAGGUGAGUUAUCAUUUACAUCCCAGUGAUAAGGGCCAGUUUGAUCAUUCCAAAGAUGGUUGGUUAGCCCCCAGCCCUAUGCCAGCUGUACACAAAGCAUCUAAUGGACAUUCACGAACCAAGAUGAUCUCGACCUCCAUUAAGACAGCUCGGAAAAGUAAAAGGGCAUCAGGGUUGAGGAUAAAUGAUUAUGAUAACCAGUGUGAUGUCGUUUAUAUCAGUCAGCCAAUAACAGAAUGCCACUUUGAGAAUCAAAGAUCAAUAUUAUCCUCUCGGAAAACAGCCAGAAAGAGUACUCGGGGAUACUUUUUCAAUGGUGAUUGUUGUGAGCUGCCAACUGUUCGCACACUGGCCAGAAAUUUACACUCCCAAGAAAAAGCGAGCUGUUCAACCCUGGAGCCGGAGGCAGUGGUCACUCCCAAGCAGACCCUUACACUUUCAGCCCCUGGACCCGCCGUGGAUGUGCAGCAUCCCAGAGAUGAUGACCACGAAGAACCUAGUAAAGAAAUAAUCUCCCUUAAGGAAGGAGACAGAGAUGCUUCCUCGGAAAAGGAAUCUCAAGAGCCUGAGGUUUGCCCCGUGACAAAUAAACCAAAUCCGAGCAGCUCUCCUAGGUCAAAGGAAACAACAGCCUCCAGCCUGGUGUCGCCUCUCUCUGUUCACCUUCCCAAAGAGGACACGCCAGAAGGCAGCUCCAUGGUCUCAACUCCCACAGCAAGUGGGAUAGCUUCCCCUGAACGAGACCAGCAGCCAGUCGAACUGCUGGAAAUCAAGGAGGGGACUGUCACCCAAGACUGUCACCUGGUUUCCUCUAUUGAGAGCACUUCUGAGGGAGGCAAUGAAGAUGUUGUUUCCGGGCCUCAUUCUUCUCCUGAAACAGUCAGUAGAGAGGAAGGUCCUCCUUGCUCAGAAAGUCAGAGUCCUCCAGUGGGCUUGGAGCCUCCUCUGAGCCUGGGAAAAGCUGAAGACAACCAAAGCAUCAGUACUGAGGCUGAGACUGAAGACACUCAGGAGCUAGAUACCGACCCACUCUUGAAGGAAAGCAGCACUUUUACUAAUGAAAACCCCAACGAAAUUGAGGAAAGUGAGACAGCAGGUGGUACAGGAAAAUUAGAGGGACAGGGCAGUAACGUAAAACAUUCUUCAGAAAGAGACAUGUGUGAUCAAAACAUUGACUCACCCGAAGAGAAUCUGGACAAGAAGAAAAAAGUUAAAAAACUCCCUGAGGCCUCUGACAGGUGCCUAAGAAGUCAGCUUUCUGAUCCCUCUUCUGCUGAUAGGUGCCUAAGAAGUCAAAGUUCAGAUUCUUCCUCUGCUAGUCCUGAGAUCAAGGUUUCCAAAAAUCCUGUUAUGAAACGUUCUAAAAAGGACGGGUGCCCUGGUGAGACAACACCUGAGAGUCUUCUGGCUGACGGUUUCCAUACAAAAGCUUUGGAGGACACUGAAAACCCAGAGGUCCAUGAAAAGCCCUCUGAGAAAGAUGCCGAGCAGGAGGGCAAAGAAGGUGGGAUCAUCACCAGGCAGACUUUUAAAAACAUGCUGGCUAAAGAGGUCAAAGGGGAAGAAGGAGGUAUUUUCCCCUGCGGUGAUCCCAUAACCACAGUAGGCCAGCCCCUGCCUGGAGAAAGACUGGAAAUCUAUGUUCAGUCUAAGUUAGGUGAGAAAAAUGCUCAUGCUCCCUCAGAAAAUAUUCCAUGUACUUUCCCAGAACAAUCAAAAGAGAAGCCAGAACCAAUUCCUGCACACGAUACGGAGGAGGUUGUGAAUGAGGUUGGCAGUGCAAACACCCAGCAUAAAGGUGACCAGAGCGAUGUGCCAUCCAGUGCACGUGGCUUGUCAAAUAGUGGAAGUGGUGAUGCGGCCGGGCCCCCACAGUGCGUCCCGAGGCUUACAAGACUGACCUCUUCAACUUACAACCUAAGACAUACUCAUUCUCUGGACUCCUUGGACACUGCAAAAGUGACUUCAGAAAAGGAAGCAACACAGGGAAACCCAAUGCCAAAGGAAAAGGAAGCUUCAGAGAGUGGAGAUCCCUUACAUGAGGAUGAUGUGGACACAGUGGUAGAUGACCAGCCAAAGUUUGUGGAAUGGUGUGCAGAGGAGGAGAACCAAGAGCUUAUUGCCAGCUUCAAUGCUCAGUACAUGAGAGUCCAGAAAGGUUGGAUCCAGUUGGAAAAGGAAGCCCAGCCAACGCCAAGAUCAAGGAACAAGUCAGAUAAACUAAAGGAGAUUUGGAAAAGCAAAAAAAGGUCACGGAAAUGUCGGGGUUCAUUGGAGGUUCAAAAGUUUUCUCCUGUUCAGAUGCUGUUUAUGACAAACUUUAAGUUAUCUAAUGUUUGCAAAUGGUUCUUAGAGACAACUGAAACCCGGUCUCUGGUUAUCGUGAAGAAGCUCAACACUCGUCUUCCAGGAGACAUCCCCCCUGUCAAGCAUCCUCUUCAGAAAUACUCUCCUUCCAGCCUGUACCCCAGUUCACUACAGGCUGAACGCUUGAAAAAACACUUGAAGAAAUUUCCUGGAGCUACUCCUGCUAGAAACAAUUGGAAAACACAGAAGCUCUGGGCUAAAUUUCGAGAGAAUCCUGACCAAGUGGAGCCAGAGGAUGGCAGUGAUGUCAGCCUCAGCCCCAAUUCUGAAGACACUGUAGAGGAAGUCAAGGAAGGUAGAAAUAGCCAUCCUCCCACAAAUUCACCUACCCCAGCCAGUACUCGGAUCCUCAGAAAAUACUCCAAUAUUCGAGGAAAGCUCAGAGCCCAGCAAUGUUUGAUCAAGAACGAGAAAAUGGAGAGCCCAUUUGGACAGGCUGUGGAGAGUAAACAGAGUUGUAAGAGUGUAUGUAUCAACCCUCUGAUGUCCCCCAAGCUUGCCCUGCAAGUGGAUGCAGAUGGGUUUCCCAUUAAGCCCAAGAGUACUGAUGGAAUGAAGGGAAGGAAGGGGAAGCAGAUGUCUGAAAUCUUGCCAAAAGCCGAAGUGCAGAAUAAACGCAAGAGGACAGAAAGCGGCACCGCUCAGGACAGGAAGGACAAGGGACCUGUGGUCAAAGCCAGCAAAGAAAAGCAUAGUGAUGGAUCCACCAAAACCCCUGCUGCCAAGAAGCCAGCUGCAAGGGACAGAAUCAGCCAACUGCCCAAAAAGACAUCCUUGAAAGAGAAUAAAGUGAAGAUCCCCAAAAAGUCCCCUGGGAAGAACUGCCCUCCCUCCAGGAGGGAAAAAGAAAAUACAAACAAAAGACCCGCUCAGCCAGCCGCCUCAGACACAGUGACGAAACCUGCAAAGCAAAAGGGGGCAGGUGAAUCCUCUUCAAGGCCACAGAAAGCCACCAACAGGAAGCAAAGCAGUGGAAAGGCUCGGGCCAGACCCUUGACAAAAACCCCAGAGAGCAGUGCGGCCCAGAGAAAGCGAAAGCUGAAGGCAAAGCUGGACUCUUCCCAUGGCAAACGGAGACGGCUGGACACAAAGUGAUCGCAAGGCUGGUAGCCGAGAGUUAAACUGUCCUACAAAAGUAACCCUUCGUUUUGCAUUAACUAAACCUGCUUUUAUAAGCUUAUCCAGCCUUUCAAAUCUGCAGUUAAUGGAGAACAUCACAAUUUAAGAUGUCAGAAAAAUGCAUCUCAGAUGGAGAAGGGAACUUGCAGAGUCUUUCUCUGAGGCUGAGUAGGGGAAGUUAUAUAUUAUAUUCUGGUUGUUCCUUGGGUUUUAAACUUGGAACCAAGCAGUUUUAGUUUUUAAAAGUACAGUGCCUUAUUUAUCCUUUUUGUUUUUAAAUUUACAAAAGCUAAAAAGCUGAUCUAUGUGAUUAAAGGCUUGUAUUUUAUACUUGAUGCACAAGCACUUGUACUGUAGCCGAGAAGACCACCAUCAUGCACAUAAAAGUAGCUUUUCAGCAGCCACCCUGCAGUGUCUGUACCUGAACAGACACUCCUCUUUGCAAACCCUAGCAGUGAACUUCCCUCUCUGUCUUGUUUGUUUGUUUCAAUGAUUCUCGAAAGCUAAACCAAAUCACUUUUAUGGUAUGUAGAGAAUGCAGAGGGAAAUUAUUAUUAUUAUAAAAGAUGAAUAUUUCUGUUACCCCUUUUUAAAAAUUCAUAUUCUGUUCAUUAUUGGUCACUCCUCUCACUUUUGAUCCUUUGUCAUUUGAGAAAAUGUAUUCUAAAUUAUGUGCCCAUGGGACAGAAGAUGUGUCACAUGGUGUUAAUAUUGGGUUAUGACCUCUAAAAAUUAUUUACAUCCCCCAAGUGAUUCGCAUUACUGAUUCUUGCCAUCCUUUUCAUUUUUGGCCUUGCAAGCUUGCUAGCACUCUAAACGAGGUUUUCUUCUGACUUUGGGGGGAAAAAAAUGUAGGAUUUUUUUUUUUCAUCUUGUAACUGUAACUUGACAAUUAGGAUAAGAGUGACUGUUCUAAUAUUCUUUCUUACCCCAAAUACUUCCAUAUUCAAAGAAAACCAGGUUGUUAUUUCCAGUAAUAGAAAAGUUUAAGAGUUUGUGCAUGUGCAUUUGCCUGUGGUUAUUAGCCACAGAUGUCUCCCAGCCCCGGUUCUGCAGUAAGAUUCUUUGUCGCCAUGCAGUGUGCUAGGGCGUUCGUUCAUGAGCUGGGUAAUUAGCACAGGCCAGAUGGUUUAAAUGUGGCCCAGGGUCUCUGUGAGUAUCCCCAAAACCAGUUUGGCAUGAGGCUCAGAAAGGUCUAAACAGCACAGAGUUAUGUAAAGUUCAGAGCAACUUUGCUGUUGGAGGAAGCAGCCCCGUCUCAUAGUGGGCCUGCAGCGCUCCCCCCACCCGGAGCUGACGUUCAGCUGGUGUGCUCCAGUGUGAACGUACAUGGUUAGAGUGGGUGUUAGCAUUCUAAUUGGUUAGUGCCAUACUGGUAGUUAAUGCUUGUGGUAUCACUCCCGCCUCUAUCACGUCAGGCUCUAUUCCAUGGCUCAGAAUUGAGAGCUGCGGUGUUUUAACUAAUGUUGUUUGCCUUUCCUGAGUGACGCCUGAGGUGGUUGCAUGGGCUUUCCCUUGAUGCCCGUAACAUUGCUCCAUUAUAACACAGUGUGACUUCCACAUUUCCACUGGGCCACUCUACAAAAAAGGCUUGGUUGUUAAAGCUUCAGCCAACUUCUCUAACAUGCUCCGUCACAGAAGUAGGCUUGUGUGGACAGGUGCCACCCUGUCUGUUUUACUAAAAGUUUUCCAUUUAGAUUGUUCAGAUCUGUUUAGGUAAACCCGGGUGGACUUUUUUCAUGUAUAGUUCAGCCAAAUCAUGAUAAAACAGGCCUUCUACCCAUUCUGUGAAAAGCUUGCUGUAUAUAAUGGAAACUUCUGAUGACUGGAUAGGACUGGAGAAAAGCAUGUGAUUCAUGGGAAAUUGAAAAUUGCAUUGAAUUUCAUAGGUAGGGAAGCUUACUAUCUUCAGUGAAGCCUUGACUUUUUUUUUUUUUUUCCAGUGUCUCCUAUCCCAUGAGUCUCUUUUUUUCUUUUUAAUAUCUUUGACUUUGGCCAUUCAAGAGCUACCUAUAUUAAUAAAACUGCUGAGUGUGUAUGUUGGCAGCCCUUUCUCAGCAUUAAGUUGCACAGAAGCAUUAGUAUGUUUUUGAGUAGGUUUGGUUGAUCUUUUAAAAGUGGUUUUAAAGUUAAAAAAAAAAUAUUUUCAUAUAGUCGUCACUGGAUACUGUUUUUGUGGUGACUUAACCAGCUGAGGUCUGCCAAUGUGACAUGUGUGGACUCCUGUGCGUAUACUCAAGGUGCCCCCCUUAGCUGCACGUAGACUGCAUUGUAGCGGUGCUUGGAUUAACUUAGGGAGAGGUGUGAGGCAGUGUGAGUGGGUGGAACUCUUCCAGUUUCGGGUCUGUCAUCCAUUCCAUUACUUUUCUAAGUGCUUUUUCAUUUUAAAAAGCUUACUUCAAGAUAAUAGCCUUUCUUCCCGUCUUAGGCGGCAUUUGGGGAAAGGUAUGCAUGUGUAUGCCUUUUUUUAUACACUGCAGUGGCUCAACGUACACUUUAUAGUAGUAACUGCAUUUAAAUAGACUGGGAUUCUACGUAAUUAGAACACUUAAAAGCUUAGAAUUAUUUUUAUAUUUGUUGAAUCUCAUUUUUGCUGAUUCAGUUAAUUUUGCUAAUAGAAGAAAGGAAAACAAACAAACAAACUUGAGGGCUGGCUCUGGAACACCCUUUUACUCUUACAGCCGAUACUGGCAAACCUGUCUCCUAGACACCUCCAAGCCAGACUUGGAAUUGACUCAAGUUCCCCCUUGUUUCCCCUGUCUCACAAAGACCUCCUUUUUAUAGCCAUCUUCACAGUAUGGCUUGCCACCAGAUGCAAAGGCAAUCUGUCCCACAUUCCAGAUUCCAAAUUAAGAAAAAAGAAAACUCUGCUCCUGGGCCUAUACUCUGACUGUCCCAGUGAUGGAGCUGAAGUUGAUGACCUGAGAACGCCGGUAUUACCUCUGAGCUUCUGGGAGAGCUGCAGGAUGCCUGCGGAGCAAUGACUGAAGCUCUACCAUAGCUCUCCAGAGCUGGGCCCUCUUCAGGAGACCCAUUUUCUGUCCCCCAUUUUCUAGCCCUUCAGGCUCCCUGGGUUUGGGAGGACAACAUGGAAACUGCUCCCCAGUCAGGGUCCAGAGCCUCCCUCAUAGCAAUCUUGCAGCACAGCAGGAAGGCAAUAAACGUUUAGUCUGCUCUUAAGGCUUCCCGCAUUGGAAUGUCACUGGUGUGUGUUAAUCUGCAGUUGCUAGUCCCUUGGAUCCCUUAGGUUAAUUCUGUUGCAUCUGUACUUCAUUAAAGAUUUCUACACAAGCCUUAUCUAAAAACAGUAAUCUUGGACUGUGGGUUUCAUCCUUGCAGUAGUGCGGCUAGGAGAGGUGCAGGUCCUCGUCUCUUCAUAGGUGCUGCUUCUGAGGGGCUCCUCUGUGCAUCACACGCUGUUCAGAUAGGACAUCAGUGAAACACAUCACUUCAAGACUUUUGCUUUGAACUGAGGUUUGGUCUCUUUCCUGCCUCGUGGUGGAUUCGUGGUGAGGGCUGAAGCUGUCACCCCCCCUCUAUGGGCAGCAUUCCUGCUGAUUGAAGGACCCGAGAGCUAAGUGGGAAAGACAGCGUGCUACAUGAUGCAGGUCGGAGAUUCUGUAAGUACCACCAUCAGCAAGGCUGGUGGCUUGUCACUGCACCAGGGACUGUAUUGGAAUUUCCCGGGGUGCUAGGCCGGGGAGCCACACCCGUUCCUAUUGGUUUUCUGUCAGCCCGCACAAACUGUCAUUUGGCUUACAGAGGAUCAAGGGUCUGCAGAAUAUGGGCUGGUCACUCUUGUAAAUAAAAGUUUAUUGGAACAUAGCCAUGCCCAUUUGUUCGUGUAUUUUCCUUGGCAGCUUUCCAGCAGAGUAUCACAUUUAUAGCAGAGACCAAGGGCCUGCAAAGCCUAAAGGAUUUACCGUCUGGACCUUUCAGAAAAAGUUUGUUGACCCUCCUUGCUUAAGAAAAUAAUCCUUUUUCACUAACAAAUUUUGCCUGAUUGAUCUUCUCCUUUCUUUGUCCUCCUCUCCUCUCUGUCCUCUUCUUCUUUUCCCCCUUAUCUUACCUCAGUUUUGUUCUUCUUUUUACACUUCUUUAUUUUCUCUUGCUACAGAGGAGACACGGUAUAUUGCUAUAGCACCCUGACUGCCAUCUCCUGACCCGUGAGCUGCCGUAGCCUCAUACCUUCCUUCUUAGAACCGCCCGUCACUGCAGCCACAGUGAGGCCACUGUUAGCCUCAAGAGUCAGACCCCGUGAGCAAACAGGGCUUCAGAGUUGUAAAUGUGGCCUGGCCUCUCGUUUCACUCAGCCUUUAUCAUAGACUUGACUCCGGCCUCACGUCUUGUUUGUUCCUAAGGUAAGCCAAGAUUUGGUUUUUCUCAAAAUUAGUUGAGAAUACUGUGGUAUUCUCAUUUAGAUAUUUAGAUACGGAAAAAGCCUUUUCACAGAAGGGAAAACAAAGUCCAGUCACUAACCCAAGGUAUUUAUUAUGUAAUAUUUUGGGCCAGCUUCUAGGAAACUAAAAAUGUAUCAGCACUGGUAUUUUUUUAGUCAUAUACUUUCCUUUCAAAAUUAUUUUAUUAAAGGCAAGCCAGCAAAUGAAAACUAGGGGCUUUGAACGUGCUUUUAGGAAAGAAUAGAAAAUUGGGGCAUAUUAUGUAACCUGAGUGUGACUGAGAAGUUGUACAUUAUGUCUUUGCAUCAAAUCCAGUCAGCUUCCAGGCUGUUGGUCUUCCCCGUCCCCCAGAACUCAAGGAUAAACUUCCAUACUGGUUUUUUCCCAAAGGAAGUUGAAUGUCAUGCCAGUGAAAAAAUUUCUGUCAGUGGCCCCAGAACACUGAUUAUUUCGGUUAUUUUGAAACAGACAGUUAUCGUUUUGACUUCUCAGCUAUUAAUUUUUGUCUUCUUAUUGCUUGAUACCCACUGAAAUACUGGAAAUUUUUCUGUCAGUAUAAAAUCGGGUCUAUAAUCACAUCAGCAAGGCAGUCCUUACACCCCAGCAGUAAGUAUUCUUCCCUGGGCUUGCUCCCAAAUCCUUUUUCAGGGAAAAAAAUGAAAAUAAAAAGAUUAUUGCAUUUAAAACAAGCAGAAUUAUGAAAAGCCUUUUGAGGCAACCUUCAGUUCAUUCCGUGAAAUGUCAGAACAGUUCGACCUCUUGUUCUACAGUGGACAUACUGGAAGACUUGAAGGUCUGACCUCUUUCCUUUAGAGAUAAUAAGUCACACUCAAGCAGAAACCCAGAGCUCUCUGAUGACACUUCUGAUGCAGGGCUUUGCCUUGUCGUGCUGGGGACCCAGGGAAGCACCCAGGGCACUUCUGCAGAGGGUGCACUUGCUCAUGCUUUUGCUCUUCGGAUUGAGCCAAAGCUGGUCGUUUCCUUCCAUUACCUCCUGUCUGUCCGAUCUUCCUUUUCCCAGAGCCCUGGUGGCAUACACUCGGUGCUUAGGGGACACCCUCAGCUUUGUUAUCUAGAGGGACGGCUGUGUAGUUAGUCCCGCCUGGCAAGCACUGUGACGCACAGAGGCUUUCUCACCGGCCUGAGACCAUCCCACUUAAUGCAAGGUGGUCAGUAGGCAAGGGACGUGAAGGUAUAGACUGCCCAUGAAAGAGCAACAACAAUGAAACAGGUGCUCAUGGUCUUAUAGUAUGCCGGAGGUUGGAGGAAUGCAUUUUACCUUUUAUUUUUUAAAGGAUUAUAUUUAAAAAAAAAAAAAAAAAAGGAACAGAAACCAUAUGUAGUGGACACAGCCUAAAAUGUAAAAUAUUCACCACCUGGCUCUUUACAAAAAGCUUUACUGACCCUUGCAGUACAUUGUUCAGGAUAAAAUAUGAGGACAGCUAGGCACAAACAUUUUUUCACAUAAUCCAGCACUGCACCACAUCCUUCCUUUUAGGGGGUCUCACUUGUUCAUCUCGGCACACAGCUGCUGUUGCACGUUAUUUCUGAGUGAUGCUUGUGCACUAAAGAAGAAGAAAAGAUCCCUCUUCGUUGAUUGAAUGUUUGUUGAAUCGUGAUCUGAUCUACUAGGAUAAGUAGUUAAAACCAGAAGUGCAAAGUCUUUUACGUCUCCUCUGUGGCAGUGCUGCCCACAAACAGAUUUGGUAAUGAACCUGAAUCCCAGAACAGUGCCUCCCCUGGCCAGAACAGGCGUGCCCCUUUCACCCUCUAGCACCCUUUUUCCUUUGUUGUACACUUGCAAGCUCACUCCCCAAGCUCUGGCCACUACUUGUGAACCUAAACCAAUGACCCCCGUGCCCAUUUGAACCCGAGUCCAGCCUGCCCUCCCUCCGCCCUCUCGUGAACACCUGCAUGUUGAUGGCCCCUUGUUGGCACACCAGCAGCUGUAGUCUGAAGAAGUUCCGAGCUCUCUGGCCUGGCUCAGCUCGUCUUGAGGAGCCAUCCUUGGCCCCUCCUCUCUUCCUCUUCUGCUUGUGCCGCCCAGCCCCCUUCUAGGAGGUAUCUUCUCUGGGACAGUACCAUACCUCCCAAGCAUGUCACUGAGCACAUACGUGUCAUACUAGAAGCAUCUUUCUUUUCAUAUCCCUUUAUUUUCCUUCCAGCAUUUAGCCGUUGAGUCCAAAUACUCUUCAAUUUAUCAACUUUUUCAGCCCACUUGUUUUCUAUAAUCUGCACCUCAUGCUGUCUUGCAGCUGAAGCUGUAGUAUUGGGGAGGUAGUUUGUGGGAAAGAUGCCAUACAAACAAGAUCUGCAUAAUUAUGUAUGUUUAUACCACAGGUAGGGAUUCGUUUUAAGGCCACUGUAUCUUAAGGGUAUCAGUUUCACCAGUGUUCUAGGAGACUGUGUUCUUGACUGUGGUUUCAAAUACACGGUGUAAUACACAGUUACAUUCACCACUGUUGAAUUUAUUUCACUGUGUAAAUAGUGGUAUUUUCCUGUUCAAAUGCGUCUAUAGAAAGUAUUUAUUUUAACAACAAAAAAUUAACUGUCGAAAGGGCUUUCCAAAAAAGUGUUCUUUCUAGCCACCUGUCCUCCCCAAUUACCUUGCUCAUCCAUUGAACCCCCAAACAACACAGUGAAGGCAGAAGGGUGCCGCCUCAAAACCCUCACUCUGGGCAGACGCAGAGUGGAUUGGGAAUCCACUGUCAUCCCAUCCCAGAACUAAGUGAGUCUCCCACAACUGGUAUGGCUGUGCCAGGCAUGGCAUCGGGGCUUGCCUCAAGCUGCCCACUUUUUUUGCAUACGCAGCUGAUCCCUUCCAACUGUCCACUCAACACCCUGUCCACGGAAACGAGCCUUAGUUGUAACCCCAAGGAACUCCAAACCCAUACCUGUGGGGCUAUGGAGAAACCACUGGUUGCCUAAAGAAAGCAUUAAGAUGUAUUUUUAGUCUUUCUCAUGUUUGUGAAAGACACACACCUAUUCACAUUCAUUAACCAUGGGAGAUAAGCACGUUUCCUUCUGCACCUCGACAGUACUCUUGAGCACCUCAGCCCUCCUUCUCCUCACCCUCCUCCUUGUCUUCCCCCUUGCACUCCCCCUUCUCCCUGUCUCAGCAAACAUCUGUGCAGAUGUGGCCAGCCCCACCUGUCACCCGUGGUUACAGGAGGAGACCGUCUGCUCUAAGGUGUGUGCAGCUUUACCUCUCAGGAGUCUUGGUCUGCAAUUCAGAGCACCCCUAGAUUUAACGGAACGGAUGCUUUAUGAUCGUGUUCCUCUUCUCUGUGCCCCAUUCCUGGGCACCUCUGUCUGAGCCGUGACUCUCAUUCUCCGCAGCUGGCUGGACUGAGAACCACGGCUCCAAGACCAGAGAGCUUGGGACUGGACACAUGGUGGGGGUGGGGUGGGGGGAGGUUCUCAUCCGCUUGAACCGUAAUUUGCAUAUUUUCUUAUGGCCUCCCUUUGUCUUUUCUAACAAACGAGGAGGACACUUGAACAGCAAUGCUGGAGAAUGUUUUUUCUAAGAUACUAUUUGUAAGCAAAUCUGAUUUUCAGAUGAAAUGUGAAUGGGUAACUAGGUGCCAGGGAAUUUAGCACUGAACUAGACCGUCAAAACUUUUUUAACCUUUGCAGGAGGAAAUAAAUUUUGCUCUCAUCUAAUGUUCACAAGAAGUAAUGUUGUAAAUAGUUUUUUAAAAAUAUUUAUUACACGUGCUGUAUACAGAUUCAUGUUCUGAGUGAUGUUGGUUUGCAUUGUAGUAUUGUAGAAGACUAUAUUUUGAGCAGUGGACUUCCUUUCAUAACACAGUUCACACAUGGAGAAAGAACAAAAACCAGCAGGUUGAGAGCUGUUUGGGGCAUUUGAUCUGUAACUCUACAUCAAAUCCAAGCUUUAAUUGCCCCCUCUUCUCAUCUGGUUAUGCCAUAUAUAUAUAUAUAUAUAUAUAUAUAUAUAUAUAUAAUAUGUGUGUGUAUAUAUAUCAUAUAUAUAUAUCAUAUAUAUAUGAUAUAUAUAUAUGAUAUAUAUAUUUAUAUAUGUAUGAUAAACCGGUCAGUUCCCAGAUCUGCAGAGCAGAUUUCCAGGUGUUCUUUCUGAUGUGUUGCCCAUAAGCAAUAAGAUCCUAGGUAAUAACAAUUUAUUCUGGGCUCUGCGUUGGCCCUUGUCUCAGAGGAUAGGGUGGGGGUAGAACAGCUCUUGCUAAGACCUCUUGCCUUUGCCGGAGAGGUGGCUGUACUUGAAUUUUUGCUUCUGUUCGUCUGCACGCUUCUUCAUGUCCUACAACUCUAGCAAUGGAUGAGAAAUCUGCCAGCACCAGACACAUCAAAAAUUGGGCAUAGAGAUUGAAAACUGAUCUAUUUUUCCAUGAAUUUGCAGGGCUUCCAGAAUCUAGUCAAGGCAAAGCUCAUUUGGCUGUGAACAUAAGAACUUUUUACAUUAAAAUUUUAAAUUGACAGUUAAAAGCCCUUUGAGUCUAUCUGCCCUACCUUGGAAAGCUAAGCCCACUUCCUGUGAUCCUCCUCUGUGCCUGGGUUUGAAAUGUCUGGGGUUAAGCCGUUUAGAUGGGAGCAAGGAAGGCAGUCCCUCCUCUCCCAGCGUGUCCAGUUCAACAGGUUUCUAAGCUGUUUAGCAGCCUCUCCUUGUGACCGUCCUAAACUUUAUGAAAAAUACCCCACACCCGAAUAACCAUUAAUAGAAUAAUGUAGUUUUUUAGGCUUUUGGAAUAUGUCUUCUCUUUUGUAUUUAUGACGGUGUUUGGAAUUUUUCACUAGUGUUUUUUUAGAUUGAAGUGGGUGCGUUAGAAUAAAACUUUCCACUGCUGAGCCUGAAAGCAAGCAAGAGGAAAGAAACUGACCUAUAUUGUGUCAUUGGGAAGGUGACUACUGUGGUGGGAGGGCGGGGAGGGGGCGUCGUAGAUUAUGUGCGAGUAAAAUAGAACUCUGGCCUGAGGCUCCCCACGUGUUUAUUACCUUGUAAUAAAUAAUCCCUUUAUUAGCCUCACUUAAUCUCAAUAGAAGCCUGCUGUUUACCCUCAGGGAACAAGUAGUUUUCAAAAUUGAGCUCCUCCAAGGUCAUCGGCCAGUGCCUGUGUGCAGGCAGUGGUCGUCUUUGUGAACUCAUGGCAUUAUUUUCCCAUAUGCGUUAUGGUAGUAAGGAAUUCAACCCCAACCUGUAUGAAAAGCACAGCCCAGGGUCCUACUUUAGGCUAGAGUUCAUGCCUUUCAGGGGCCAGGGGGCCAUAGGAGGCCCAUGCAAUUUAACUGAAGCUCAGGUGCCGUGUUGGGUUUUUAUUCUUUUUAGGCCACGACCCUUCAGAAUGAGAUUAGGGCAGGGGCUGCUGAUCCGCCUGUGGAUCCAGGGAGCUCUAAGAUGAAUCUCUACCGUUCCUUUAAGGUCUUUCUGGUUCCUCCCAGUGUUGUCAUUGCCGAGGUCAAUCUUGUAGUUGUUCAGAUGUGCUCCUUUUUGCUGUCUUGUGAGUCUUAGCCAGUGAUCCAGAUGCCUAAGGAGAGAGUCUCUGGAUUCUCGGUACCAAGUGUGUGCCCCUAACCUGUGUGCAGGUGGUCUUUCCAAAAGCAGUAAAUUGAGAAGUUCUACAAAUGUUCAUCUGGAUGAUAGAUGUGUAUCCUUGGGCCUGGAUUUCCACUGUGUUAGUGAGUGUAGGAAAAUACUGUGUCUUUAAUGGAUGAAAAUUCAAUGUAUGCUGUGAAUUUGUUGGUUUGAAACAUUGAAAAUUUUUCAUUAGACAAUGUUUACAUACCUCACCUGAAGAACCUUUGAGAGUGUAUAUAUGAAAUUUAAAAAUAUAUUAAGUUGCUUUAAAACAAUAUGUAUAGCUAUAAAAGUUGGAGUUAUUUUAACUUUGAAUAUGUACCAAGUCUCUUAAAUAUUGAAAUCUUGUGGACUUUUUGUGCUUCUGUGUUUUACUUUCCUAUUAGGCCAUGUAGGAAACUGUGUUCUUGUUAUUGGUAAAGGGGCCCUCACUGAAAUCCAAGCUUGGACGGAUUUCCUUUGUUGUUUCAGAUUUUCUUGUUUGGUUUUGAGGGAUGGGGUAUGGAGCUAGAGGAUGUGUGGGAGGGAUUUCUCUAACAUUGACAUCUAUUCCAUGAGCUUUUUCUAGGCGCUUAUUUUAUUGCAGCGUAUUAAACUUCUUUGAUAUUAAAGUGUGUUUGUGUAGUUACUGGACAGGGAACAGAAUGCACUGAAGCCCAGGAUUCAACUUGUAGCCUGUGGCAAAGUUGAGCAGUUGCCAGAAGGAACCAAAAGACAAUACUUCUAAUACUUCUGCCUCGGCCACGGUGUUGGGACCUAAGGGAAUGUUGUUUGGUAGAUCUGAGGCCAUUUUGUGAGGUAUGCCUAACUUCGGGGAAAAGAAAAUACUGCGGAUGAAUCCUUGGAAUUCCCAUGGUGGAGUUGGAAAGGUGCCAAUGCUUCAUCCUGAGGGGCGGGGGACCUGGUGAACCAGGUAAGCCACUGUUAAAUACCAGGGUGAUAUGCACAGCUGCCAAGGGGGGCUGCCCGGCUGUCUGUGUAGCCCAUGUUGGGGAAGGGCAGAACGUUGGCAUUUACAUUUACUAGCCCCAUGACCUGUUUCACUAUAUUCUUUCAGUUCUGCUUCAGAGGGGUUUAUGUAAGGGUCCAGUGGGCCAGUGAUUUCCUUUCGGAGUCAGCCAUGGUUUCCUGAAUACGUUACAUGACGGUGGCCAUUGACAUGCAGAACUAUAUCCAGUGAAAAUAACCCCACCUCUGUUCACUUGAAUUUGGAGAAUUUAUCUUGUUCCAGAUUAGGAGUUUUCAUGGUUAAAAUAGAUUUCUUUUCCUCCCAUAUUCAUCCCAUGGGAGGAUAACUAGAAUAUGGCCGGAGAGGUGCAGACUGACUGGCUUGGGGUGAGGAGACAUCUCUAAAAUUAGCUCUGAGAGCACAGAGUGUAGGGGUGACAGACAUGCUUUAGCACCAAUCUCGGGAAAACUUGGCAACUCUAGCUGGAAGCCUGGUCAUUCUUUCUGUUGCUUCCACUCCCCAACCAAGCCCUGCUAUGCUCAUUUCCUUGGUCGGGGAUUUCCUUUUAACUGUUAAAGUUGCUACUUACUUUCCUUUAAUUCAGAGGUUGCAAACUGGUGGCUCACAGUUGUGUUUUAUUGAGCCCAGUGUUUAAAAAAGUUAUCUGUACACAUGAACUGUGAGGGUUUACAUAAAAUUUGGUUUCUGGCUUCUCUUUUAAAAAUCAUAAUGAACAUCUAAUAAAGUUAGUGCAUGGUACGAAUCAGGUAGAGCUCAGCAGAUUGGAAAAUGUGCUUCUAAGGUCACCAGAAGUCCCUGUCAGCUGCCAUUUGUCCCUUUUUUCUUUAACAGUAGGGAAAUCGGUCUCUUACCCGCUGCUACAUCAGAAGUGGUAAUACAAAUGAUGGGCCAGAAGGGCAGGUGCCCAUUUACUUAGGUAACCUAUUGGCCAGACACUUAGCUUACAACCCUAUUUUAACCCAUUUUCUUCCUUAUACCCAGUUCAUUACAUUUCCUCCCAAAUCCCUAAUUGCUUUGCAGACACUGCAGUUACCAUCACCGCCCACUUUCAAGGUGACCAUGUGCUGUUCAGGUAUGACUUGUGUAACCGUCAUCAUGAUCUAGUGGGGAAUCAGUCUCUGAUCCUGGCAUCCGAGGAGAACCAGGUGGGUCUCCUUGGUGGUGGGGGCCUUGCCCAGCCCGACUGCCAGCACCUGGCCUCACCUAGAUGCUCAGGUCAUGCAUCCUAAAAAAUUGCUGAGAGCAAUUCUACAGUCUGGAGUCGUAGUAGAACUACUGUAGAAGUGUGUUUGCUUUCUUUCUCCACUGAUCCCUACGAACCACUCUUCUAGUGACACUCAGGUUAACCUUACAGGACAGUUUGAGAAACCGUACUGCUUUCUAAUCUGUUGCCCCAGUGAACUAAAACCUUCAGAGCCAGGUUAAAUGUGGAUGUGACUCUGUUCACAAACUCUGGGUGUGACUCCAGAUACUUGAGGGGAAAUGAGGACGAGGACCCCUCCCCCGCCCAGAUCUCUGCAUGUGCUGUGCAGGGCCAGGCUCUGCCGCUGCACUCACAUCCCCAGGGAGCUAUGACCAAGCCAUCCCCCAGACCUCCCCUUCCUCCUUUGGGAAGAACCGACCUCCUCUGCCACUUUAUGAAGACCAGAGAGUUCCAAGGGCAGGUGUCCUACAUGUGCUGCCUCUGAGAGCCAUCGGGGGGUUGUGGCCAGUGUGUGGGCAGCCUAGAAACCCUCAAACCCUGGGAAUCUGCAUGUCAGCAGCCCUGGGCUCAUCCUUAGUGCAGAAAAAGAGAUCAACAAGGCAGAACCUGAGUGAAUCAAUGUCAUGUUCACAUGGAAGACAACAGACAAUAUCCAACAUGUUCUAGAAUAAUUCUAGGGAAAGGGCAGGUGUGGCUCCCUCACGGGCCUGUUCUAAACCAGUCUCUCUAAAAGAGUGAUCCAGAUAAGACUACAGAGACCCCUAAACAAAGUGUCACUACCACACAGCAUCUGAAAAUCAAAACGAGACACGAGAUAAUUGACUUUAACAUAUAAAAAUACUAUAACAAAAUGAAAUACAAAUAUAUAUUAGAAUCUGUUAAGUAUUCUGUAUAAAGAGAUACUUUCGUGGUUAGGCUAACAGCAGGCAAAGAGGAGACGAGUCCGGCCUGUUCCUGACACCUUCCCAGGGAGCCCCGGCCACCGUCGCCAGCAGUGCUGCCAAAGCAGCAGCAACCUCAGGACUUGCCCUGCUUGUGUCCCUUCGGUGCAUGUUGGAGACAGCCGGUGGUGACACCAAAGUGAACGAAGGUCUUUAUCAGAGGGGUGACAAGGUGUGGAGGUGAUUAAUCGGAGCUGGUUUCGCCAGAGCCUUCUCCUGGGCCUAAAUGUGGACGGACGAGAUGAGCGGUGGUCCAGUUCCUUAGCAACUUGCAGGUUGGUGGUUGAGGAAACGUUGAUCCUGGGACACACCACGUGGCUCCUUGCUGCCCUCACUCUUGUGGUGGAUCCCAAUCUUGCAGCUCCACUGAGGGUGCAUGCGGGGCCAGGCUGAGAUGCGGGGUGUUGUGGAGGGGCGGGUAGGGGCGGCACCCAGCUCACAGGGUACCCCCUGCGAACGCACACCCUGUACUCUGCCCUCCCAACCCCACGGGAGCGGGAGAGCAGGACUUCUGGCAGCCAUCACCCAUCCGCAGAUGAAGAGGCUGCUGCUGGUUAGUGCCCCUCAAGCCCAGGAAGCCACUUCUACUCCAGGGCAGUGGCGGAAUGGCGGUGACCACGGGAAGGUAAGUGUCUUGGGGUCGGUUGGCCCAAACACCUCUCUUCCGUGGAAGGGGUAAGUGCCAGCUGCACUUGAACUUUCCUCCAUAUAUCAGUACCUGCCUAGCGCUAGAACUGCUCUCCAGGGUCCCACGUGGUCCAGAAACUGUAGGUAAGAGAGGGAUGCCGUGCAGCCCUAGGAGAAGGCCCUCGAGGCCCAGGCUGCUGUCCACGGAGAAGGGCACCGUGGCCCUGCUCAGAACCACAAGAAAAUAGAGCCAGGUCCCUGGUGAGGAGCAGAUCCAGCCAUGAAAAUGCCUCUGCAGUUGGGCAGGGCAGGAUCCUCUUCCCAUUACAGGGCUUCCAGGGCUCCAACUCGCUGGCCAGAGUCCUGGUGUAGUGGAGCAUGCCAGGCUUCCUCAGUUGUCGGAGGCUCCAGCCCUCUACCGCUCAGCACCAGGAGCUCCUCCCACCGCCCAUGGUGGCUGAGGACACAGGUGCACUACCACCUCAGCCCCACCCAGCAGGCUCCCCCAGCCCUGUCUUCUGUUUGCAGGUGGAAGGAGCCAGGAAAGGGACAUGCUUGCUCCUCUUGCCCACUGGCGUCCCCUGGGGGCACACUCUCUUGGGGAGACAUCUGGACAGGAGCGUGUGACCUAUCUUCUAGCCAGCUUGCUAUUUAAGCUCAAAGAUAAUCUUUGUUUUCAUUGUGCAUGGAAGAGAAGCAUGGAAGCAUGGAAGUUGUAGUCACAUGGCCCCAUAUUCAGUGACUCUUCAAACACAGAGUCCUUCCUUGCAAACGCCUGGGGUAAGCAGCCCUAGCCUGGGCCAGUGUCUAGUGGUCGGAGCCCUCGCUCGGCUCAACUCUUCCCAGGCAUCCUGGUCAUUCCUGUGAUGCUCUACGAUUAGUUCAUAUCUGUCCGUGAGAGCAGAACACCCACAGUGCCAGCCCAGUUAGGCACAUAAAUACUUGAUGUGAUUCAUGAACAUGCAUCUUCUACCUCCUCUAGCCUCCCUUCCGGAGCCACAGUGGGAAGGUCUACAUUGCUCAUAUGUAUGUUCAAACCACCUCCCCAUGGGACAGCUAGGAGACAGAGGACCAUAGAUGGGGAAAACGUUUGCCCAGAGUGACAGGCAGCAGAGGUUUCCUGGUGCCUGUACCACUGCUCCCUACUGGCCUGCACGGUGAGGGGGUCUGGACCCAGUCUCCGUGGGAGGGGAAGCCUCCCUGGCUAAGCAGCCUAGACCACACCCCCUUGCCCCUGCCAAUGGCUUGACAGCAUCCUGUGGCUGGCUAGGGGCUAGGAAGGCCUAGGACCAAUGCCCCUUUGGUGGUGUCUGGAGGUGGUGGUUAUUCUGCUGGAACCAAGAACCUCCCCAGCGCCUGUCCUCUCUGGUGGGACUGCCACUCCAAACAGACCCAGUGGACAUUUUUGAAGCUACAAUGGUCAGCUCGUAACUUCAGGAUUCAGGGGUCUGGUCCUAAGGGACCCUCCUCUAGCCGCAGCCUCACUCCCCAUUGAGCAGUGGCUUUAGUGCUACAUCAGCCCAGGAGGCAAGGGUUAGUCCCUUCCCGGCCAGCAGGAGGGGGCCCUUCCCCUGUGCAGCCUGGCCUACUGCUGGCAGAUGCUGCAGCAACAGAAAAAGCAGAGAUCCUGGCUGGCUGCCCCAGGGGAGGCUUCAAAGUUAUCUGCAGGGGACAGGGGGCAAGGGGCUUCUGAGGGCAGUGUGGGCCACCGGCGAGAGGGAAAGGCUGUUUUGGGAAGGGGCCAGUCCCUUCUUCAGACCCAGGUAGUAGGCAAGCAGGGUGGGUGGCAGGGAGGGUCAUCAUUCUGUGCACUUCUUGGCCUGACCUCAAGCACACAUUCAUUCAACAAAUAUUUAUUAAGCGCCUGUUUGUGCAAGGCACUUCCGGAGAGGGCGGCCUAAAGCCCGGGCCACGCCCACCCACCCCACCCCCAGCUGCCGGCCUGGUCACCCCCCCAAGAGAUUGCUGUGGGGUGGGGCCAGAGGGCCCUGCCGCUCAGGAACAGGCAGGAUGGCCCGCACCCCCACCCCACUGCGGGCCACCCGGCUUCACUGCAGCCGUGCCCUCUCGCCUGCCUCACCCCUCCCCGUCUAGCCUGGCGCUACUCGCAGAGGGCACAGCCACACUUGGUGGGCUUCUCCACCUCCUCGGCAAAAGAGGUCCCGUCGCUGCACUCAAAGGUGAACUUCCUCCGCUUCAGCCGCAGGCCCUGGCAGCAGCCCUGACCUGGGCAUGAGCCCCGGCACUCCACCCACGACAGCGGGCGCGUGGUCUGGCAGAUGGCAUAGCCCCUCUGGACCUGGUGAAAGUCCCGGACAGGGUCCCCCCGGCACUCGGACUCUGGAUAGGACAGACACCAAGAGAAAGCCUCAGGGCACACCCAUGGGCCAGCGCCGGCCCCGGGGAGGCCGGAGGCAGCAGAGAGGCGCAUCCAAGGACCAUGUCCUCUAGGGCUUAGACUCCACCUCCGACCCCACCCGACAUGCACAUGCACAGGCUUCCUUCUGGGCCCAUAGGCCAGUCAGUAGGAAGAACUUUCUAGCUGCCAGGGCCCUCCAGGACAGAAGUAGGCUGUCAGGUAAGUGGGCUCCCAGUUGCUGGAAGAGUGCAAGAGGAGGCUGGAGACUGGGGAGGCGAGAACAAUAGAGAAGGAAUCUGUGCCAGGAGCAGGGGCCUAAGGGCCCCUGAAGGUGCUUGAGUUCUGGACUUCUCCAGCUUCCCUCUGCCUAGCCUCAGCAGUCUCAAUCCCAGCAGAAACAUCUGGGUUACACGGGCCAGGGAGGGCCUGGGAAAGAGUCCCCAACCCUCAGACUUCCUGUUGCUCUUGGGUCGCAAGGUGAUGGGGCCAAGAUGUUGAGGUUUGUGCAGGAGCUGUUCCCCUGGGCAGCCCCUUCUAUAAGGAGAGACCCCAGCCAGAAGGGGCACUUGCCCUGGAUAAGGGGGCUUCAGGGCAAGCUGAACCAUUUGGGGGUGGGGGUCAGAGCCUAGAGGGUAGUGGGUACUACAGCCCAAGAGCAGCCCAAGAUGUGGGAGAGGAGAGGGGAGGAGGCACAGAGGGGAUGCCAGGGUUUGGAAGAGGAAAAGUCAAGUCACUAAUGCAAGUUGUGGGGAGGGGCCCUAGAGAGGGCAUGUCAGGAGGGGGGCCCCUGACCUUGCUCACACAGCUCGCCCGAAAAGCCUGGGUCACACACACAGUGUGCCCCUUUGGUGGCCAAGGCCUGGCAGUGGCCAUGCAGGCACUGCAGUCCCCCGCAGGGGUCUACAGGUGCCCCAGCCUGGUUGCACAGAGCCCCCGAGUACCCAUCCUGGCACUGGCAGCUGUAGGAGAGAGCGUCGAGGGGCAUACAUUGCCCGUGGACACACCUGGAGGGGACAGAGAAAAGGUACUGUGAGAAUAGGCUGGAGCCAGUCCAAUCCCAGGGAACCCACACCCCCAGCUUUGGCAUCCGGGGAGGUUAUCCUAUUCCUAAGACAAACAAAGGGAGAAAAAUGUGAUUCUGUAUCCCUAGGGACCUCUUCCUGUUAAUAAAAACUGAAAACUAGGGGGAAAAAAUGGAAAAAAAACCCUGUGCUGGGCCACAUGUUCCAGUUUGGGGUGUUAAAAAUACAGUCUAUGCAGCAGCCCUCAGCAUGGGGAAAGGAACGGGCAAGGGGUGAGGGCUCCCCGAACCCAGCUAAGGCUCACUUGUGGCCAUGGCAGGGGCCGUCGGCUGGCUGGUCACAGUGUAGGCCCCCCCAGCCCGCCUCACAAUGGCACACGGGCCCAGGGGUGGCAUUGGGCUGGCAGAUGCCAUGCAGGCAGUAGAGCUUUCGGCAGGGCUCACAGCCUGGCACCACGCCUGGCUUCAUCCGCGUCUUGGUGAAGUCCUGCAGUUCGUUGUUAAUGUACAGGUUUCGGAUGCAACCGUGGAAGCUUGUGCCGUUGAGGAUCUGCCACAGGCGGAAGGCAGCCGAGUUCACAUCCACUGGCAUCCCUUGGGUGGGUAGGAGCGAGCAGAGUUGGGCUGAGUCAGGCUCAGACCAUGUCUGACCCUACCGCCCUCGGUCCACUGGGCAUCUCCACAGUGUUCCCUCCCGCCCUCGGCCUCCGUCUUUCUGUCUUUGCAACCCUGAGCCAAGAUCCUUUGCCACCUUGGAGGGUCCAGACUCCUUUCCCAGAAAACAAAAAAGGAAAGCCUAUUCCCUCAAUGACCAGAACCCACAGGUGCCAGGCUUGGCAGUGGCCAGCUGACAAAGGAAGCUCUGGGUGCCUAAAGUCUGCCCUCACCCUUCCUGCCCUCUGGGAUACCAGCUUUCACCUCCCAAAGACUCCAAAAGCAGCAGAGGACCUGGGCCUGGAACCAAGGUGUAUGCUGCUUUGUCACCUGCUGUCGUGGUGAUCAUAGCAACCCUUGGAGGGAGGAGUAGCUGAAACCCAUCUUGUGGUCAGUGAUUUGCCUGAAGUUGUACGACUAACAAACAGCAGAGUUGGGAGUAGAGCCCAGGGCUCUCUCCUUCACACCUGCCCGCAGUCUCACCAAGGCCCUCUGCAGCACUAAGAAAGCCCCACUGUUGCAGAAACCUGACUUGUUCAGACCUGGAAAUGUUGGCGGGUGGCAGACAGGGGCAUUUAACCUGCAAAGCCUGUAAAGCCAGCUGGGAAGUCCCAGCUGAUGUGGAGACUCCUGCUGGGUGCCUGGGUCUCUCACAGCAGCUCCAAGACUGGGAAUGGACCCUGAAUGCUUGACAAGCCCCUUCUGGCCCAAAGACAAGAGGGAAAGUACCCACUUUGGAAGAGAGCUAGGAAAGUUCCAGGCUUCCCCCAAGGUCAGGCUAACCUAGGCAUCUAUCCUUCUUGGUCGGUCUGAGCUUGACAGCAGCCUGGGCUCCAGGCCAGGAAGGACAAUCCCCUGGCAGCUUGGAAUGCUCCCGUCGUCCGGUGGCCUGGGCACCAGCUGUCCUGGCAAAACUCAGGCCAGAAAGCAACAGAGGCCCCACUUGGAAUGGCUGUCACAUUGCUUGAUGGGGAGGCCUGGGGAGAGCCAGCCGCAGCCUCUACCUGGCCAGGUCCUUACCUCCCACGUAGAGGGGGGCCUCGCUGUUUAGUGUGUAGUGUUUGCCAAAGUUGUCCAUGGUCAUGGGACUGCCUCCAUCGAUGGAGAGAUUCACCAUCUGGUCAAAGGUGACUAGCUCAACAGUGUGGAACUGCCCGUCAUUGAUCGUCUCAGCACUAGAAGAAGAGGGGUGCCCCCACCCCAGGGAAUGGGCUUCAGUUCAGCCCAUCCCUGCCUGGGCCCUUCCCCAAAAAUGCCACUGGUCAGCAGCUGCUUUCCAGGGAGUAACAUCUCUCAGGGAGGAGACCAUGGGGACUCGGUGGCCUGGGGCCUGGCCCCUCCUGCUCUGCUUCUUGGGACUCCCCAGGGAAAGGUGAGCAGUUUGGGGCAGGGGUCUCCAAAUUAUCCCCCCUCCCCUUCGCACUACAGACCCCCUUGUGAGGAGGAAGUAGGAUAGGGAAGGGUCGGUCCACUGCUCAGGCCUCGAUCUCAGCCUCAGCUCCAAGAUGGGCCCAAACACUGUAUCUUCCUACAUGGGCAGCCCAGGUUCUGGAGGUCCCGAUAACCACCUGCUCUUGGCCUGGGACACCCUGAGGGAGGGCGGUGGGCAUGAGGAAGCCUUACCUGUAGAUGGCAGAGCUGGGGUAGCUGCCUGGGUCGUAGCUGACACGCACAUGACCCUGGUACAGCUCCACUGCGAUGUGGUCAUUGUCCCCAUUGUACAGCAGGAUCCCGUUGUCCUCUGCCGUGGAGACCUGAUGGGCAAGGGCACUUUCUCUGCCACCCCACCCCACCCAUCAGUGGCACAGGUAGGUGGGACAGAUGGGGGAUCCACAUUUGGAAGAGGGAUGCUGUGCGUAGAGCUGCCCUCCCCUGGCUGCCCAGGGGACACAUCCUCAAGGGGAUGCUGACAGAGGCUGGCAGCCCCUGGUUCAAAUCCCAUCCACUGCCAGGCUGGCCAGGGCCACAGAGAGAAGGCAGACAGACCAGCUGAGGCCUGGAAACGACGUGCGAGAAGGGGCAGGUAAGAGACCUUAGGACUAUGUGCCCGGAGAGGAAAGUCAGAUCGAUGCAGGGUAGCUUGUUCUAUGGGCCUCUGGGAGCCACAGAGAGGACAAGGUGAAGAGGGUUCUCUAAUAGCCAUGACCACCCAAACCUGGAAGGAGCCACUCAGGAGGUAGCACCUGUCUGAAUCUGUGUGAGCAAAAGCUGGAGUUGCCUUGGUGGGGGGAGCCCUCUGUGAAGCCGUAGAAACGAUGAUCCUGCCUUGUCCCUCUUCCCCCAUUGCUUCUGGUAGACAGCCUGACUCCCUGGUCUCAUACACAGGGCUGGCACACAGCCCAGGCUGGACACCUCAUAGCACCCGUUUCGCUGGACUCAGUGACUGGUCCAGGGAUGGGAAUGGGACUGAAGACAGGCCAGUGACGGGGACAGCAGGAGGUGCCUGAGGCAGUGGCUGGGAGGGUGUGGUCAAUUUUAUUUCACUGAGCAGUUGGGCUAGCUGUGUUGUUGCAGUAUAGACAGUGUACAUGGGCAAGACUUAGGAGAGGUGAUAAAGUGGGGGAGAGCACAGUGAGCACGUCGGGAGGCUGAAGGGCUCUGAGAGAAAAGAAGAGGACAGAGAGGAGAAAUGGCUGCCAGGGUAGGGAAUGCAGCUGUUGGAAGAGGGAGAUGGCCAAAGAGGAGACGCAAAUUUUAUCAUGUGAUGUGCACUGUCCUCUCCCUCCCCAAGAAACGUUUAGCAAACAGUGCCAUUCAAGUGGGACCCGCUCUUUGCCCUCGAAACACUGAUGUUCUGCGAUGAAAUUCAAGACACAAAAUGGCAAAAUAAGGGCCCCAGGGACAGGUGGCCAAAGAUACAAGCCCAGAGCCAACCCUUACUGUGUCCUAGCCACGUGGAGAAACCCGUGUGCAGCAUUCGAGGCUGAAGCUCAGGAGUAGGCAAGACUGGAUAGUGGGAGAGGACCCGGUCACCCAGGAGACCACUUCUGGCCCUGCCUUGAGACUGCUUCUGUGACCUGAUAACAUUUCCAGAUGUGCCUGACCCACAUCCCAAGCGUUUUGACUGACACAGGCUGCUCCCAGUUUUGGGCAAGGAUGCCGCUUGAUGCUCGGACCUGAGGCCACAGCCCCCUGCUGCCUGACUCCCCUCUGUGACUGGCGCCCUGGGCACGCACCUGCAGCGUGAUGUUGGCCCGUGGCCAGUUCUGCAGAUCGGUGAACUGCAGGUAGGUGUCCCGAUCCACAAAGUUAACACUGAGCAACUUCUCACACUCGGGGCCGCCGAAACCUGGAAGGCACUGGCACACCGGCCCGCUGCCCUGGUCCACACAGUUGGCUCCAUUCUGGCACUCAGUCCCCUCGCAGGGGCUUCUGGGGGCAGGUGGGCGGGGAGGGGUCUCACAGAACUGCCCACUGAGAGGGAAAAGAUACAGGUCAAAGAAGGGGCAAGGCAACAUCUUUCUCUCCCACAGUCCUGGAGAGAAAUCACUAAACAUCUUGGGAAACUGGACCCUUAAAGCAACAGAAGAUGCUCCUAAUGAACACUUUCCCCGAGAGAACAAGCCAGAAGGAUACUGAAGACAAGAAAAGAAAAAACAGACACGAGCAAAAGAGAGAAGACUCCAAUUACUAAACAAAUACAAGAGGGGACAGUACUUCCGGCAGGUAGUUCUGACACAGCAUACAUCCUGUAGCGUCAGCAUUCACAACAGCCCAAAGCGGAAAUAACCCAAAUGCCUGUCAGCGGAUGAAUGGAUAAACGAGUGUGGUCUAUUCAUGCAGCGGAAUACUAUUUGGCCACAAAAAGGAAUGAAGUUCUAAUACAUGCUCCCACAUGGAUGAACCUCAAAGACAUGAUGCUAAGUGAAAGAAGCCAGUCACAAAGGACCACAGAUUGUAUGAUUCCAUUUAUAUGAAAUCUUCAGGAUAAGGAACUCUACAGACAGACACCAGAUUCUUGGUUGCCUGGAGCUGAGAUGGGGGGCGGUGGGGUGACAGAUAAGAGGUAUGGAGUUUCUUGUUGGAGUAAUGAAAAUGUUCUAAAAUUGAUUAUGGUUAAUGCAUGCAAAAUCCUGAUAAUAGAGUACAAGCCACUGAAUUA